GUAGUCUCGCACAGAUGCAUAUCAAUAAGCGGAGGAAAAGAAACUAACAAGGAUUCCCUUAGUAACGGCGAGUGAAGCGGGAAGAGCUCAAAUUUGAAAUCUUCAAGGUUUUACCUUGACGAAUUGUAGUUUAAAGAAGUGUUUUCUGUUGAAGUUUUGGUAAAAGUUCUUUGGAAUAGGACAUCAUAGAGGGUGAGAAUCCCGUAUUUGACCAUUAUUUUCAGCUGUGUGAUACACUUUCAAAGAGUCGGAUUGUUUGGGAAUGCAGUCCAAAAUGGGUGGUAAAUUUCAUCUAAAGCUAAAUAUUGGCGAGAGACCGAUAGCGAACAAGUACCGUGAGGGGAAGAUGAAAAGAACUUUGAAAAGAGAGUUAAACAGUACGUGAAAUUGUCAAAAGGGAAGCGUUUGACACCAGUGUUGUUUUUCUGAAAAUCAAUUAAAGAACUGUUUAUGCUAAGCUGUUUAGACUUUAUCAGCUAACUGUUUAGUUUUGAGCUUUUCUUUAAUGCACUUUUCAGGUUAACAAGUCAACAUCAAUUUCUUUUGCUGUAAAAAAGCUUGAGGAAGGUGGCUUGAGAUUCGUCUUAAGUGUUUAUAGCCUCUUGCCUAUGCAGUCGGAGAGAUUGAGGUCUGCAGCGUAGAUCCUUCGGGGCUAGAUACAUUUGUGCUAAGUUAUAGCAUUUUUAUAGACAACUUGUUGACUAUGAUUAGUCUUGUAGCUUACUCGCUUAUGCUAUUUUACCUACGCUUAGGAUGUUGAGCGCAUGUCUCUCUCU
rnacentral:rRNA from 1 species